rnacentral:rRNA from 1 species
UACGUAGGGUGCGAGCGUUGUCCGGAAUUAUUGGGCGUAAAGGGCUCGUAGGCGGUCUGUUGCGUCGGGAGUGAAAACUCAGGGCUUAACCCUGAGCCUGCUUCCGAUACGGGCAGACUAGAGGUAUGCAGGGGAGAACGGAAUUCCUGGUGUAGCGGUGGAAUGCGCAGAUAUCAGGAGGAACACCGAUGGCGAAGGCAGGUCACUGGGCCGCAACUGACGCUGAGGAGCGAAAGCAUGGGGAGCGAACAGG